UCCCUGGUGGCUCAGAUGGUAAAGAAUCUGCCUACAAUGCAGAAGACCCAGGUUCGAUUCCUGGGUUGGAAA
rnacentral:tRNA from 1 species